UUCUAUCUACCAAUUGCCUUAUCAAAAGGACUUUUCCUGCUUGGGGACAAAGAUAAACAAUCACAAACAUUGCCUCUUAAGGAGGACUUCAGACAGGUGCCUGGCCAAGUGCAACCUGAAACAAAGCUUCAAACAUGAGAGGCAAACCCUUAGGCUAAAGCCUAGGGUCAAAGAUGAGGAAAAAAUUUAAAACAGAACAUGAAAAUUCACAA
rnacentral:lncRNA from 1 species